rnacentral:misc_RNA from 1 species
UUGGAUCCCGACGAAGUCGUAACAAGGUAGCCGUACCGGAAGGUGCGGCUGGAUCACCUCCUUUCUAAGGAGCACCACGAAAAGGGUUGAGACACAAGGUCUCACCUAGCCGUGAGGAACCUGUCGGGUUGUAGUGACCGGGGUUUGGUGCAACAACAGACGUUUGAGCCGCAAGGGAUUUGCGGUGAUGGAACUGCCAGGCACACUAUUGGGCUUUGAGACAACAGGCCCGUGCCCUCUUUGUGGGGGUGGCUUCCGGUUGCGGGGGUCGGCGUGUUGUUGCCUCACUU